rnacentral:rRNA from 1 species
CCUGGCUCAGAUUGAACGCUGGCGGCAGGCCUAACACAUGCAAGUCGAACGGUAACAGGAAGCAGCUUGCUGCUUUGCUGACGAGUGGCGGACGGGUGAGUAAUGUCUGGGAAACUGCCUGAUGGAGGGGGAUAACUACUGGAAACGGUGGCUAAUACCGCAUAACGUCGCAAGACCAAAGAGGGGGACCUUCGGGCCUCUUGCCAUCAGAUGUGCCCAGAUGGGAUUAGCUUGUUGGUGAGGUAACGGCUCACCAAGGCGACGAUCCCUAGCUGGUCUGAGAGGAUGACCAGCCACACUGGAACUGAGACACGGUCCAGACUCCUACGGGAGGCAGCAGUGGGGAAUAUUGCACAAUGGGCGCAAGCCUGAUGCAGCCAUGCCGCGUGUAUGAAGAAGGCCUUCGGGUUGUAAAGUACUUUCAGCGGGGAGGAAGGUGUUGUGGUUAAUAACCGCAGCAAUUGACGUUACCCGCAGAAGAAGCACCGGCUAACUCCGUGCCAGCAGCCGCGGUAAUACGGAGGGUGCAAGCGUUAAUCGGAAUUACUGGGCGUAAAGCGCACGCAGGCGGUCUGUCAAGUCGGAUGUGAAAUCCCCGGGCUCAACCUGGGAACUGCAUUCGAAACUGGCAGGCUUGAGUCUUGUAGAGGGGGGUAGAAUUCCAGGUGUAGCGGUGAAAUGCGUAGAGAUCUGGAGGAAUACCGGUGGCGAAGGCGGCCCCCUGGACAAAGACUGACGCUCAGGUGCGAAAGCGUGGGGAGCAAACAGGAUUAGAUACCCUGGUAGUCCACGCCGUAAACGAUUUCUACUUGGAGGUUGUGCCCUUGAGGCGUGGCUUCCGGAGCUAACGCGUUAAGUAGACCGCCUGGGGAGUACGGCCGCAAGGUUAAAACUCAAAUGAAUUGACGGGGGCCCGCACAAGCGGUGGAGCAUGUGGUUUAAUUCGAUGCAACGCGAAGAACCUUACCUGGUCUUGACAUCCACAGAACUUUCCAGAGAUGGAUUGGUGCCUUCGGGAACUGUGAGACAGGUGCUGCAUGGCUGUCGUCAGCUCGUGUUGUGAAAUGUUGGGUUAAGUCCCGCAACGAGCGCAACCCUUAUCCUUUGUUGCCAGCGGUCCGGCCGGGAACUCAAAGGAGACUGCCAGUGAUAAACUGGAGGAAGGUGGGGAUGACGUCAAGUCAUCAUGGCCCUUACGACCAGGGCUACACACGUGCUACAAUGGCGCAUACAAAGAGAAGCGACCUCGCGAGAGCAAGCGGACCUCAUAAAGUGCGUCGUAGUCCGGAUUGGAGUCUGCAACUCGACUCCAUGAAGUCGGAAUCGCUAGUAAUCGUGGAUCAGAAUGCCACGGUGAAUACGUUCCCGGGCCUUGUACACACCGCCCGUCACACCAUGGGAGUGGGUUGCAAAAGAAGUAGGUAGCUUAACCUUCGGGGGGGCGCUUACCACUUUGUGAUUCAUGACUGGGGUGAAG